rnacentral:sRNA from 1 species
CGUGUCGACGGAAUUGGCAACCGCCAUUGCGAAGGAUUAUGGCGUGGACAUGAUCAAUGUG